UAUGUAUAUGUAUGUAUAUAUUCUUUGUAUAUAUAUAUACACAUAUAUAUGUAUAUAUAUACACACAUAUAUAUGUUGUAUGUAAAGAAUGAACAAUAAGUAUAUACGAUAUGAUUCUCCACAGUCUGGCACAAGUGAUUCUGGGUAAUAAUUUUGUGCAAGAACCCAAAAAAGAAAUAGCAAAUUAAAAGUAUAGUUCAAACAAGAAAAUAAAAUAAAAUGUAGUUUUAUUGAAUUGAGAGCCCAUUCAAUUAUUUAAUUAUUAGAAAAAUAUCUACUGAGCAACUCCUAGGGGGUGGGCUCUGUCUCUAUAUUCUGGUGUGUAGACACAGCAACAAACAUAUAAGGAUGCACAUAGACACAUAUGCAAAGAGACUAGAUAAUGAGAGUUUCUAGUUAAGGGAAUAAAGAGCAAGAGAUGGGAACUCUGUGCUGCUUUUAAUUGGGUGAUCAGGGAAGCUGGCCCUAGGAAGACACAUUCAAAGUGAGCUCUGAGUCAUAAGAAGGUUCCAGUUCUGCAAAAACUCAAGGGGAGAGCAUUUCAGGCAGAGGGAACAGUCAGUGCAAAAGGCCCAGGGCAGGCAGGAGAUGGGCAGGCUGGAGGAGCCAAGAGAGAACGUGUAGGUGCUGAGGGGAAGGAGGGUGAAGGGGGAGCACGGAGACAGGCAAGCUAAGUGAGGUAAGUCUGAAAACAGAGAAAGACAAAUACCAUACGAUGUCACUUAUAUGUGGAAUUGAGAAACAAACAAAAAACAACAAAGAUCAAGCUCAGAUACAAAGAGGGAGGCAGUUGCCAGGGGGUAGGGGAAACAGGUGCAGGGAGUCAGAAGACACAAACUUCCAGGUUAAAAUAAGUAGGUUCGGGGAUGUAAUAAUUAGUACAGCAAGGGGACUAUGGUUAAUAAUACUCUAUUCCAGGUGUGCCUAAUUGGCUCAGUCAUAGAGUCAUAACUCUCCAUCUCAGGGUCAUGACUUCAAGUCCCAUGUUGGCCAUGGAGCCUACUUAAAAAAAAAUACUGUUUUGCAUAUUUGGAAGGUGCUAAGAGUGUGGAUCUUAAAAUUUCUCAUCACAGGGGAAAAAACUGUAAUUACAAGGUGAUGGAUGUUAACUAAUUGUGAUCCUUUCACAGCAUGUAUACGUGUAUAUAUAUCAAAUCAUCAUGCUGUACACCCAAAACUUCUGCAAUGUCAUAUGUCAAUUAUAUUUCAAUAAAACUGAGGGGGAGAGGGGGAGAAUGAGGACACUGCAGACACUGAGCUUCUUUAGCAGGGCGGCCAGAAGCUGGCGAGCUGGGCCUCUAGGUCUCACUCCCUGGGAGGGACCACAUGCACCCUGUGAGCACAGAGGUGCUUCCCAAUGUCACCAAUCACCUUGUUAGCAGUGAGUUGGACAGUUAGGUAGUCAGGGCCAGAGUCCCCAGCAAGAAGACAUGGGGUCAGGACACCUCAAAUAAAACAGCACUGACAUCCUGUUUUGCAGGUUAGACAGACCAUACUAGCAUCCUGCUUUGCAGCCUUUGUAGAAAUGACUUCUGUAAAAUGUCCUAAAAUAAAGCAAUUAACCACAAAAGUAUUUGUCAAUAUCAUGGCAAAGGGCAGUGAAGACCUAAGCCCCCAGAUGUCUGUAAAACAAGACCUAAUAGGUAGACAGAUACAGGACCAAAGCCCUGAUUGGCACAACUCAGCACACCCUGAUUGCUUAAGAAAGUUCCACAAAAGACCCCAUAAAAACCCCAAACUUAGAAAUUCCUAGGGCAUUUCACUCGGGUCCCCCUCCCUCUCCAGGAGCUGUGUACCUGUGCUCAAUAAACUCUGCUUUGCUGCCCACUACUGAUCUGUGCUUCCUCUUUGUUCUUUAAAGCAGUGUGACCAAGAACCUGGGCACUGAGGGGACACAAAUCCUGUAACAACUUUCCUCCUAAUGAUCACGAUUACCCAGGACCUUUCUUCCCAGUUCACCUUUGCAACAUUCAGGUUGAACAAAAAGCAAGAGACUGACCAGUGGGCACUCAAACAGGGCACUCCUUUGAGGACUGUGCUAGAAAGAUUAAGAAAUAAGGUCUCAGGUAGAGAAGAGUAGGUGGUCAAGUUUCUUUCUCUCACCCAGGGAUCCCAGAAAUGCAGUAACUGCCAGCUGAGGGAACCUAUAAUGGCUCCAGGCUGAGCUAGGCCUGUUAGGAAAUGGAAUUUUCACUCCCACUGCCCAGCCUGCUCCUAUUCAUCCUUCAAAACCCUGCUUACCUCCCUAUAUGGUUCCCAUUGGCCAUCUCUCUCCCCAGGCUAACACUGUGUGCCCCCCUUGCCUUAUGGCUUUGUACCUCCUCCGACUAGUGUGGGCAGAGUAUAUUUCCCCACUCCAGGGAUGCCGGGCUUGGCUGUGUUGAAUUGUUCUGGCCAAAGACAUGUGCGUGGAAGCCGUAUUAUGAUGGUUCUAAGCCAAGUACCUUAGAAGUACUGCAUGUUUCCACUUGUCUUCUUGCAUCCUUGCCAUUUGCCACGAGAACAUGCCUGGAGCAGCCACUGGUCCAAAGUGGGUGAGACACCGUCGAGCAGACCUGACCCCUCCUGCCUACCAACUUGCAGACUGUGUGAGCAUCUGAGAAGGGGGAGGACCUCUCCUCCCCCCACAUGCAGCAUCUGUAGGUCAAGGUAAGGAAAUGCUGUUUUUAUCCAAACCAGCGGUAAACAUAAAGCAGCUGUUCACAAACUUCAGCGUCCCAGGAUCACUGGGAGGGCUUCUGAAAACACAAUCUGCUGGCCCACCCCAGAGGUUCUGACCCAGUAGGACUGGGAGGGGGUCUGUCUACUCGGUUGUGGUGCCGCCGCCACCGCCGGCCCCAGCAGCCAGGGACCACACCUUGAGAACUGCCGGCAGAAGAAAGGAUUCUGUGAGGAUGAAGUCAGCUCCCCCGGGAGCUCCGUGCCAGUCACUGACGCCUCCCAGGGGUCCCCCGCUUCUCCCCUCGUAGAAGCCUCUGGUCCUUUCAGUCCCCCGACGGUUGGCGCCCCGGGAAGGGUGCAGAAAGGAGCACUGCAAGCCAACUGCUCAGAAGCAAGGGCCACCCUUGCACUUUUUCAAGUUCCCUGAGAGCAAAGGCUUGGGAGCAGGCCUGUCUGGAGGUGAUCCCCGGCCACACGGGCGAGGUUGCAGGGAGGGCCAGGGAAGAGGACGCGCCAACCUGAAGCCGUGCUAUUCAGGUCCCUCGAGUCUCCUGAGACCUCUAGGAAGCUCCCAGAAUUGCCCACCGGAAGGAUGGGAGACUGCGCAUGACAUACCUGCUACACCCACUGGUCGGUUAACUCUCCUCCACUUCCAAGCCAAGCCAGCUCCUGUGGCCUGGGACAAGGGCCUGGGACAGAAGGCAGGUGACUGAGUGGUGAUACUGGAGAGACUGAGCUCUGACGACCUGUCCAGCACAGCCACGGGGGAGGUCAGAAAUGGACCCAUAGGGCACCAAGCGGACGCCGGGGAUAGCUGCGCCCUGGCUGGCGGCGGGGAAGACCCGGAUGCAGGCAGGUCCUGCAGGCCCUCCUGCAAAUCAUGGACAUUAAGGCAGUUGUGAACUCCUUGAGGAUCGUCAUACUCUGCCGGUCUCAAGUAUUUGUCAAUGGACUGCAAGUUCUGACAGGUAACUCUCCUGUUACCUGAUCUCUCCUGGACGGGCUCAGAACCUGCAUUGUUCUUUGAGAAUCUCUGCUCUUCAUUAUGGAGAACAUAGGAUCUGAUUUCACCAUAAGUGUGGGCCACAUAACCAGUAACAGAGAGGUCUAUAAUAAAACCGUUUUGGGAAUUG